UCCAAUACAGUCAAAGACAGAGUCACCAUAGUGCUCUGAGAAUAUGGUCCUUACCAAAAGACCUUAGUUACGUGAUUGUUAUCCGCAAUCCAUUCAUCAAUUGGUGCUGUCUCACUUAAUUUUGUCGCUACAUUUCUGUUUUAUCUUUUGUUAAUAUUGACCACUUUAAUAUUCUUUCAUGGGGUUGAUCCCGCUGCAGGGGGUUGGAGGUGGGGGGCUGGGGCCAUAUAUAGCAGCAUGUAUAAUGAACACUUGGGCCAACCAUGUACACGCAUAAGUUGCACUUAAUUUCCACAAUUGAGUGUUCCUUUUGUUUCCACAAAUAAAAUAUAUUAAUUACUAAUACAAAUUUUAAUAGAUCUAAUUAGUUGUUAAUUGUUUUCUUGUACUAUAGUUUUUUUUUUUUUUGAAAGGAAAAUAAAGACCUAAGAACAUUAUAAAAGAACCAGCAUAUUAAUAGUGUCCCUAUUAAAACCUUCUCAAAUAAACCACAUGGAAAAAAAUCCCCAAGAGAGGAAUACCACACAUACAACAAACUAACAAAAGAGUCUAGAAACAUAGAAUAGUCACCUCUAAAACAAUUCUACCCUACUAACAAACACAAACUAAGGAAACCCAUUAAAAGAGCACACCAAUGCCUAUUUAGUUCUGUCAAAGAAGGCUUCCUAUGUAAACAUAGUCCUUUGUACAGCAUGAGAUUUGUCCAACAUGCAAUGAGUCAGAACCAAUGAAGCACCAAAACAAAAAAAUCACAGGAAAAAAGCACAAAUAACAAACUAAAGCUAAGAGAAACUUAGCAAAAGAGCACACCAACGCCUCUCAGGUUCUAUCAAAGAAGGCCUCCUAUGAAAACAUAGUCCUUUGUACAACGCGAAAAUUAUUCAGCAUGCAAUGGGCUACCAAUGAAACAUCAGAACGUACAAAUCACAUGAACAAAACAUAAAGUACAUAAGAGGUACUGUGAAACAUCAAAAGCCAUCUCCUAGUUUCUUGAUCCAAAACCCAAACGGAAAAGAAGGGAAGACCAAGACUAGCCAAUAAAUUUCAGAAGAAAAAUCUUCAGAGCAGGAACAUUUAUCGGUUACCAAGCCUACGAACUAUUGAAACAAAAAAAAUUCGGCCAAAUGCAUUUAUCAUUUAUUUCAAAUAAAAAAAAUUAAAUGAUAAAUGCAAGCCAACAUAUGCUCUUAAAAUUUUGGGAUGCGUGUUAAUUUUUUCAAAUUGGUGAGAUAAUAGGCCUAAAAGGGAGGCUGAAUCUGAUAAGCAUUGAUUUGAAAUUCAAAAGUAUUAUUUGAUCAAGGGAGUCUUAUCUAGUUGGCCUAUAAAAAGGCUACAUCAUAAGAAGAAAAAAAAAUCAAAACAAAAAAAAAGGAGAAAGGAGACGAUAAAUCAAAAAAGACUGCGGGAGAAAUUAGGGUAGUGCAAAGAAGAGAGAAAAGUUUCUACUGGCAUUCUGUCAUUUUUAUUUUUCUUUUCUAUGUUGGGCAUAGCAUGCCACAAAUCUAUGGGUGAGAAACCCUGAAAUUAUACGGAUGAAAAUCCAUAGGUGAGAAACCCUGAAAUUUUUUGGAUGAAAAUCCAUGGGUGGGCAACCCUAAAAUUAUUUGGAUGUAAAAAUCCAUGGGUGAGAAAUCCCGAAAUUAUUUGGAUGUAAAAAUCCAUGGGCCCCGAAAUUAUUUGAAUGUAAAAAUCCAUACGGGUUAGAAACCCCGAAAUUAUUUGGAUGAAAAUCCACAAGUGAGUAACCCUGAAAUUAUUUGGAUGUAAAAAUCCAUAUGAGUGAGAAACCCAGAAUCCCUGCAGAUAAAAAUCUGGAAAAUGAGUUCACAUAUGCAACAAACAAAAAAGGCAGCAAGUGAAAAAAUAAAUAAAUAAAUAAAUAAUUGGAAUUAAUGGGCUAUGCUAGUUCGCAUACAAACAGAACCCGGAAGGUUAAAAAAGGAUUCCACGAAAAGGAAAGACGGCUUGAAAGAGGGAGGCCACGCUACAGACUUUGGAAUUGCGUUUUGUUUGUGAAAAUAGGCAAGACAAAAGCAUGGGUGGCUGGUGCGUGAUUUAAAAAAUAUAUGGAAAAGUUGAGGAAGACAACCAUGCUGGCCUUGACUUGGUCUGUUCAGAUAGAGGCAGCAAAUUUAUAAUAAAAAAAAAAAAAAACCAAAGGAAAGUGGCGUUGAAAAGAAAGAAAGGAAAAAAAAGAAAAGACAAAAAAAAAGAAAAAAAGAAGAGGGUGGCCGACGCCAUUUUGAUGGAGACAAAAAAAAAGAAAAAAAGAAGAGGGUGGCCGACGCCACUUUGAUGGAGAUUGGGAGAAAAGUCAAAAGAAAAACAGGGAGCUGGUGUUGUUAGUAGGGGUGGGCGCGGUCCGGUUCGGUCCGGUUCUCACUUCAAACCGGAAUCGAAACCGGUACUAUUUAACCGGUCCGGUUCGGUCCGGUUUAAGCAAAAAAAAUUUCAAAAACCGGCCGGUCCGGUUCUAACCGGUUCCGGUCCGGUUCUGACCGGUUCCGGUUUUGAACCGGAUUAUUAAUUUUUAAUUUUUUUUUAUUUUUUAAAAAAAAAAAUUUUUUUUAAAUUUUUUUAAUAAAAAAUUUAUAAUAAAUAACUUAUUUUUUUAGCUUAAAAAUGAACAAAUAAUCCAAUUCAUACAUUUAGAAAAUUUUUGAAGUUGAACUUGGAAAAUUAGUGAUUAUAAAAGUUAAAAUAUGGCAUUAGAUUUUAAAAUUUUGUAAAAAUAUAAAUAUAAAAUAUAUGACCGGUCCGGUUCGGUCCGGUCCGGUGCGGAGAGAUGUAAAACCGGAACCGGAACCGGUUGGAACCGGUUCGGUCCGGUUCCGGUCCGGUUUGUUGACUUUUUUGGUCAACCGGUUUUUUUUCCGGUUUUUUUCCACCGGUUCGGUUCGGUUUUCCGGUUUUCCGGUCCCGAUGCCCACCCCUAGUUGUUAGAGACCAACAUGGAAAAGUAAAAAUAAAAAAGUAUAGCACCUUUACUCAAUUCUCUCCCCCAAGCAGAUCGUACAGCCCCUUUGGAAUUUUCAGGUGUAAUUGUUCUCUAAUUUUAUAAAGGCUAUACUUACUUCACACGCCAAUUCCAUUGUCUCUAAUUUUUGAAGUUCCAAUUGGAGUAUGAUUGAUCACCCAAAGAUUAAUGGGCUGUUAAUUCUUAAAAGUCCAAAAUAUUUAAUGGAUGAUAUAAAUAAUUACCCAUUAAAUUUAUAGAAGCUUAAAUUUCUUAUUAUAUGAUUAAUGGAUAGUUAAUAAAAUUCUUAUAACUAUAUUUGGGUCCAAAUGCAAAUGUCAAUUGUAGAAAAUUAAUGGGUUCAUCAAAUUGCUCAUUAUUUUUCUGGGACAUUGACA
rnacentral:lncRNA from 1 species